UAAGACCGAGCAUCGCCCACUGGAUUUCUCUCAGCCUUCUGCAGGUGAUAUCGGCCUUUAAUUUGUAGUCUGUAGAAUGAUCUACGAAAAGUUCGGUGUGUACCUACUGUUACGAAAUGUCAAAUAAAUAUUGUAUUAGUUGUAAAAUUGACCGCUUGAAUGCGCGGGCAUGCGCUCAGCGCAAAUAUUAUUCCCUACCUUGACCUGUUUGGCCCCUCCCAUGACCUCCCCUGCCCUUUCUGCAUUGUAUAAAAGGCGCCCCCCUGCAGUUUUGGCGCCAGUUGCCGUUGGAGAGUUGCCAGUGAUAGAGCGACGACUGGAAUAGCCUAUGUUUUGGUAAUUAGUGCUGUGCCAGUGUUGCGGCAAUACAAAUUUUGUUAUUCGUACUUGUUUUUCGUUGUGCUUCAUUACAUUUGGUGUCAGAAGUGGGAUCUGACGAAGAAAAGCUGUUCACCACGUGCCGUCGAGACGAUUCAACUUCAAUUUCAACAUGGAAAAAAGACUGGUGAGCAAUCACGGAGUAGGAGGGAAAGAGAAAAAGAAGAGGAAGCUAUCAGAAGGACAAAAGAGACGGCGCAAUCGCUAUAAUUACGAAAAAGAAAGAAAAAAACGUGAAGCCGCCGCAACCGCCGCAUUGACCUCUUCAAUUCCAGACGCUCCUGAGAGGGCUGUAGUUUUCACGUCUGCCGAUAUCCCGCUUCGUCCCGUCGCAACUGUUGGCCCGUCCGUCUCCCUCAACCCACCAGUAUCAGCUAGACCGCAUGCAAUUCCAGACAGCCAGAGAAGAUGUUGCGAAAACUGCCGAUCAAACAAUUUUCCGAGUGAAGAAGAAAGAGCCCGUAGAUUCGUGCAGCGAAGAAAAGAACAGGAAGAGGAAGAAGAAAUAGAGAGAAUGCGAAUGGAGAUUCAGUUUGUUGAUUGAUGUAUCUUCAUAAUUAUACCAGUUUGAAGCAAGUUAAAGAAAAAAGAGUUAAUACAAAGAAAGCCUCGUUGUCAUAAUCGACACGUCUUGUGUCUUAAAUAAACCAGUUACAGUGUAACUUAUCUCGUGGCCUAAUAAACCAGUUAUAAUGUA
rnacentral:lncRNA from 1 species